rnacentral:rRNA from 1 species
GAUGAACGCUGGCGGCGUGCCUAAUACAUGCAAGUCGAGCGAACAGACGAGGAGCUUGCUCCUCUGACGUUAGCGGCGGACGGGUGAGUAACACGUGGAUAACCUACCUAUAAGACUGGGAUAACUUCGGGAAACCGGAGCUAAUACCGGAUAAUAUAUUGAACCGCAUGGUUCAAUAGUGAAAGACGGUUUUGCUGUCACUUAUAGAUGGAUCCGCGCCGCAUUAGCUAGUCGGUAAGGUAACGGCUUACCAAGGCAACGAUGCGUAGCCGACCUGAGAGGGUGAUCGGCCACACUGGAACUGAGACACGGUCCAGACUCCUACGGGAGGCAGCAGUAGGGAAUCUUCCGCAAUGGGCGAAAGCCUGACGGAGCAACGCCGCGUGAGUGAUGAAGGUCUUCGGAUCGUAAAACUCUGUUAUUAGGGAAGAACAAAUGUGUAAGUAACUAUGCACGUCUUGACGGUACCUAAUCAGAAAGCCACGGCUAACUACGU